AAGGAAGUAGCUCAGUUGGUUGCUGACGAAAGCGCAGCUUUUGGCAGCCGCAGAAGAGCAUUAGCCUUCCAAGCUGAGGGUCGCGGGUUUGAGCCCCGUCUUCC
rnacentral:tRNA from 3 species